CUUAAUGUGGCAGAUAAGUGCAAUGAAUUUAAGAUUCAUCCAUAAAGAUUUUUCUUUCGUUAAGA
rnacentral:tRNA from 1 species